GACGAACGCUGGCGGCGUGCUUAACACAUGCAAGUCGAGCGGUAAGGCCCUUUCGGGGGUACACGAGCGGCGAACGGGUGAGUAACACGUGGGUGACCUGCCCUCAGCUCUGGGAUAAGCCUGGGAAACCGGGUCUAAUACUGGAUAUGACUCCAUGACGCAUGUUGUGGGGUGGAAAGCCUUGUGCGGCUGGGGGAUGGGCCCGCGGCCUAUCAGCUUGUUGGUGGGGUGAUGGCCUACCAAGGCGACGACGGGUAGCCGGCCUGAGAGGGCGACCGGCCACACUGGGACUGAGACACGGCCCAGACUCCUACGGGAGGCAGCAGUGGGGAAUCUUGCGCAAUGGGCGAAAGCCUGACGCAGCGACGCCGCGUGAGGGAUGACGGCCU
rnacentral:rRNA from 1 species